rnacentral:lncRNA from 1 species
UAGGGGUAUCAUGUGAUUAAAUCCCAUGAAAAAAAAUAUGAAAAGAAGAACUUACUUUUCUACAAAAUCUUAGAUCUUGAAAUCUUAGGUUUGUUGUGUGUGAUACAAAAUUGUAUGAAAAAUAAAAUAUUUAAUCUAUAUGAUUAAAAUUGUUUAAUCAUAAGAAAAUAAAAUCUAAAAUCAUAAAAGGUUUAGAUAUGAUCUAACAGGAUGUUUAUGAUUGAUUUUAUUUUAGGAUUAUGUAAGAUUUUUCAGAUCUGAAACUCUUUGAAACGUGCUCGC